rnacentral:sRNA from 1 species
ACUAGAUGUGGUGACACAUGCCUGUAGUCCCAGCUACCUGGAAGGCAGAGAUAGGAGGAUUACUUGAGUGCAAGAGUUUGAGACCAACCUGGACAACAUAGCAAGACCCAGUCUCAA